rnacentral:rRNA from 1 species
GUAGGGAAUCUUCCACAAUGGACGCAAGUCUGAUGGAGCAACGCCGCGUGAGUGAAGAAGGUUUUCGGAUCGUAAAGCUCUGUUGUUGGUGAAGAAGGAUAGAGGCAGUAACUGGUCUUUAUUUGACGGUAAUCAACCAGAAAGUCACGGCUAACUACGUGCCAGCAGCCGCGGUAAUACGUAGGUGGCAAGCGUUGUCCGGAUUUAUUGGGCGUAAAGCGAGCGCAGGCGGAAUGAUAAGUCUGAUGUGGAAGCCCACGGCUCAACCGUGGAACUGCAACGGAAACUGUCAUUCUUGAGUGCAGAAGAGGAGAGUAGAACUCCAUGUGUAGCGGUGGAAUGCGUAGAUAUAUGGAAGAACACCAGUGGCGAAGGCGGCUCUCUGGUCUGCAACUGACGCUGAGGCUCGAAAGCAUGGGUAGCGAACAGGAUUAGAAACCCGAGUAGUCC